rnacentral:lncRNA from 1 species
UAAAAGAUUGCAGAUAAACUGUAUAUUUCAUUUCAGUAGCACAUCACAUGAAAUACAAUACAUCAUCCACCGACUCCUCCACACAUUAAGCUUCAAGACCUAACAAGUGCACAUCAAAAUAAUUUUACUAGUGCACAACAGAAUACUUCUGCAGGUGCAAGUGCACAGAAAAAGGACCCAACAAGAACACAAUCGCACAUAAAGAGAGUUCGACAAAGAUUGAAUAAGAAGCACAAGUUUCUUCUCAUCCUCUUCCUCUGCACAAUAUGUCAUUCUUGUCAGUGAUGCCUGCAAGAAGAAAAUGAUUAUUUGCCAUUGACGCCUGCAAGAAGGCGCGAUUCAGAUGUUCUGCAUCAUCGAAGUCAAGAGUCGAGAAAUGAACAAGCUUAUAGAAAACAUCAUCUAACACAAAUACAAAUUCGCAGUUACUUUAGUUGGGUGAGAGACAUUUGGAAAUAAAAUAUAUUUUUCAUGCACUUUUAAUGGUGUGCAUAUAUAACCCAAAUUUCAAGAGUGAUACUUUGUGAAGGCUUAUUACAACUAGUAGUAACUGGUACUCCUGUAAACUAACAGAUUUAUAUUAAGAUUGGUUACAAGCAGAAGUAAAAAUAGGUAGAGGGGCAAAAUGCAUGUGAACUACCCAGGACUAGCUCUUUUUAAUGACAAAAUAACCGUGGGAAAUGAUUUUUAAAUAUAUAGUGCAAAAAAUCUUGGAAAUAUAACACAUGACAAAUAUGUAGUAGCGGCAGUAAGGAUUAUAUUACAAGUUCCUUCUACAAACAAUUUGGUAAAGUGGCAGCAGCAAGGAUUAUAUUACAAGUUCCUUCUAAGACCAAUUUGGUAGUAGUAGCAUCAUCAAGGAUUACAUUAGAUAAGCAUUCGACAAUUCAGUUAGUAGUGCCCAGUCACAAGGGCAGUAAGAAAAUGUACCAUUAGCCAAAGUUCUAAUGGCUACAUAAACAUGUAAUCCCUCCAUUACACAUUGUAAUGCAUACAGAUGUGUCUGAAAGUCAAACUUUGCCAACUUUGACAAAGUUUAUAGAUAAAACUGUUUACAACUACACUACGAAAAAAUACCUCAUGAUAUUUCAAAUGAUGUGCAUCUGGUAUUCUAGAUGUACAUAUUUUCCUCUAUAAAUAUGAUCAAAGUUUAUAAGUUUGACUUGCAGAUGUAAACCUUCAGAUAAAAAGUGGAAUUCAUUACUUGAUACACAUAGUAAAACUUCAUGGUUAACUCAGGUUACUCAUUAGUGAAAAAGAGUGCAAUUUUAAGCCUCGUACCGGAAGGAUAGAAGUUGAGAAUUUCACUCAAACUCCUACAGAAAACAAAACCUAGGAGUAAACCAAACCGUUUCACAACCAAACAGAAAAGGAUGCUAGUCCUCCACUAUAGACCCAUAACACAUAUAAAAAUUUGUGCAGAAGGAUGCUAACUUGAUGUACAAGGCAUCACAAAACAGUACAUCUCUUGCAAGUUUCAUGACCCACACAUAACAAGCGUAUAUCUUGUCAGUUUGACCCACACGGAAAAAAUAGAGUGAUGCAUUUCAAUUUAGGAAAAAAUAGACAUCUCUUCGACGCUCUCUUCAAUAUUCUCUAUGGCAUUUCAACUUUAUAUUCAGCAAGUUUGCAUCAGGCAGGCUUACUGAUAGCAUGAUAAUUACCAACCACGCAGACAAACGGAAAAUCAAACAAAAAGAACAGCAGCAUCAUGCAAGGACGAACUGUAGCAGCCUAACCAGACAUACACAUGGCACAAUGGCCAUGAACGCAGAGCAACCACCAUAGUCAUGGUUCCGUGAAAACGACAAGCACAGACCAACCACGAGACACAAGGAGAAUAUUAAGGGAAGGAGCUCACCGUGGCUGAUGCCAAACAGCACCGUCGCCGCCACCGUUGCAUCGAAGCAGCAGAAAAGAGGAGCCUGUCACGAUGAACCCCUUGUACCAAAUCAAAUCCUGCUGCACAAGAAGGACAAGAGAAAUAAGAAGAUAAUCUUGAGGUCAAAUCAAAAAUCAGAACAAUAAAUGCAAUGAAAAAUAACCUGUGCUCUCAUAUUGUUGUUUGUUGUUUCUGAACUCUCACACUGCUUUAUCAUUUGUUGUUUGUGAACUUUCAUAUUUUACUAAUCAAACUACUAGUUCAAUUUAAAGUUGAUCUACUAUAAAGGGGGAGAUCAACCCAGGUUCUAAUAAUUCUUAGAAUUAACAUGGCUUCUAUCUACUAUAAAGGGGGAGAUCAACUCAUACAUGCAGUUUCACAUCUGCAAAAACUUUUCCCGUGUUUUUUAGUAAAGAGCACCGUGGAUAGAUCAUGUUUUGUAAGAUUUAAUCAUACUAGUCGCCAACCCAUGCAUUCGCACGGACAAGUUUAGUAAUUAAUAUAUAAUGAAAACCUCGGACCAUUUAUAACUUUUGAAUCUAUUUUAUAUCCUCACACAUGUGGAACAACUUAUAGUUCCAAAUUCUAGUAAUUAUAUAUUAGAAUAGAAUAAGAUUUGAUUUUGUAGUGUUUGUACAUUUGCACUGUCUCACACUCAAAGGAAUAGUAAAUUUAUUUGAUUGUGAUGUUCUCCUACUUUGUGUCCAUAAAUUAUCCGCCUUGUACAAAGAGUGGUUGCCUAUGAGACUUUGAGUGAUAAUUGGCGCUAUACACUAAAGUAGGUCAGUUUCUUUCCCUACUAAUGAAAGUUUGUAAGGAGUACGAUGUUACCUCAAUGAUUGAUUUGCGAGCACUUCUAUUUUAUUCGGGC